CCCUUAGAUGUUCUGGGCCGCACGCGCGCUACACUGUUCGACGCAGCGAGUCUUAACCUUGACCGAAAGGUUUGGGUAAUCUUCAGCAAAGUCGAACGUGAUGGGGAUCGAUCAUUGCAAUUAUUGAUCGUGAACGAGGAAUUCCUAGUAAGUGCAAGUCAUCAGCUUGCGCUGAUUACGUCCCUGCCCUUUGUACACACCGCCCGUCGCUACUACCGAUUGAAUGGUUUAGUGAGAUCUCUGGAUUGACGCUGGCUAGGGGGCGACCCUUGGCCAGACUGUCGAGAAACUGCUCAAACUUGAUCAUUUAGAGGAAGUAAAAGUCGUAACA
rnacentral:rRNA from 1 species